rnacentral:lncRNA from 1 species
CAGAUGAGUCGGGGUCUGGAUGUGGCUCCAAGUGAAAGGCCUGUGGGGUCCACCUAGGUCCGUGCAGGUUACAAAUGGCAACCAGAACAGGGACUCCAAGCACGCCCAACUAGCAGCAUCCAAACAUGGGACUUCAAGGACGUGAAUGAAGAAGGUCUGCUGGAGCAGAGGAACUGAAAUUGACAAGGCGAAAGGGGACCCUGGGAAGAGUCUGCCGGCAGCAGAUAUAAGUCUGUAAAAUCGGAUGGACCACCAAUUGGAGAAUGAGAGCCUCCCAGCCCAGCCUUACAUUCUUUCAAUUAAUACAUAAACAGAAAGGGGGAUAUGCAGGGAGCCAAAGGCCUGUGGGACGUGACCAACUCAGCAUUCUGCUGGAGGCUAUAUGAUCAAACAGCAAACUGUUUAUCAUGAAUACAGGAUGUGAGCAAACUCAGGACUGCUCCUGCCAACAUAAGGUUUGCUGGAGGCAAUCACUCCCUGGCACCGAGGUUAUCUACUGCGACAUCUAGAGAAUGCAGUCUUGCAAGCCUACUCUGAACUGAGCAGCCGACCCCUUCUUCCACCCCCCCACCCUCCUAUCUCUUUUGCCUAAUAAAUACGGAGGGCUGUGUAAAGCUCAGGGCCCUUGUCCACUAGAGGUAAGGUGCUCCCUGACCCCUUCUCCCAA